GAGUCUCUUGUGAGGAGGAUGUGGUUCAGUUUGUUAGAAGUGACAGGAUAAAUAGAGGGCAAAAGUUCACAUGAGGUUUCCCACUGUGGCCCUGAUAUAACUAACUACGAGUGCCGAACCCGUGAGAAAUUCCAUGAGCAACGGGAAACCUGGCAAGCGAUCGCAGCGAAAAAAACACAGAGGAGAGAGAGAGUCGGUCGGAAGAAAAACAAAGCCGGGCCUGUGCAGCUAGCGAUGAUAGCAUCACCGCCCCAGUCAAAGACCCGGUCUGUCUCCUUCAACUCUCAGAAGCCCGGCCAGCGAGCGAGAGAGAUAGAGGGAGAGUGACGGAGCAGAGAGAGAGAGAGAGAGAGAGAGAGAGAGGGAUGAAACAGGACUCAGAGAGAUGAGACGCAUCGCCGUGUAUCUUCAGUCCUUCACGAGCUGGAAAUCACGGCGAGCGGAGCUGCAGGAGAUCAGCUGAUGAUUCUCUGGAGGAUCGUCUCCAGGAGCAAACCCGUCCACUUUGUCACAUUGUUUACACACAGUGAUGCCAAAAUAUUGACUAAAGUGGCUUCAAGCAAAUAAUAUGAAAGUAUUAUUAGCAGCCUCGUCGCUACAGCCGCUUCGCCAGCUGUGUUUGACGUGUUGGGAGUGAGAACAGACUGCCACUUCAUACAUCGUUCUCAUAAAAAUAUCAACUAUAGCUGUUUUAACAAAUAUAAUAAAUAUCACAACAACAAA